CGGAUUUCUGCAUAGGAAGGAAAAUAUAUUGUUCAGAUUACAAAAAUUCAGAUCAUUGUAACUACAACUUCUGCUAAGAAAAUUAGAUUUACAGUUUUUUAUAUCUUGCCUGCAAAAUCUCCUUCUUUGCAUCAGAAGAAGCAGUGGUCUUGGUAUAAUUUGGUGAUCCAUUUGCAUCAAAUUGAUUUCUUCCGUGUCUCGUGCUUACCUUCAAGCUUGGCAAUCUUGAACCAUUUUCUGAAGAAUUUUUGUUCUUUCUGAUUGUCAAAGAAUGGAACAAGAAGAGAGAAUUCUGGGUUUUGGAAGAAAGAUGAAAGAAAAUUUUUGAAGAUGACACAAAAAUCAGAAAUUCCAAAGCUUCUGCUCUGCCAGUAUGGUUAGUUCCUUUCUUGUCACCUUAUUAUUUAAAUCAUAUUUGAAUAUUGGUUAAAUGAGAACUCAAAUGCCUUGACUUGGCUAUGAUUGACUCUUCCUUUUUUUGUUUAGCUUUGGAUGGUAAGACAGAGAAUAAUGAUUUAAUAUUUAAUUGACUUUUUGAAAA